rnacentral:rRNA from 1 species
AGAGUUUGAUCCUGGCUCAGGAUGAACGCUGGCGGCGUGCCUAAUACAUGCAAGUCGAACGGAGACUGUUUAGCAAUAAGCAGUUUCAGUGGCGAACGGGUGAGUAACACGUUGGUGACCUGCCCCAAAGUGUGGAUACCAGUCCGAAAGGAUUGUUAAUACCGCAUGUGGUCUUCGGGAUUAGAUGCCUGAUGACUAAAGGAGUAAUUCGCUUUGGGAGGGACCUGCGUCCCAUCAGCUAGUUGGUAAGGUAACGGCCUACCAAGGCGAUGACGGGUAGGGGACCUGAGAGGGUGGCCCCCCACAAUGGAACUGAAACACGGUCCAUACACCUACGGGUGGCAGCAGUAGGGAAUAUUGCAUAAUGGGCGAAAGCCUGAUGCAGCAACGCCGCGUGCGCGAUGAAGGCCUUCGGGUCGUAAAGCGCUUUUUGGAGGGAUGAGGAAGGACAGUACCUCCAGAAUAAGUCUCGGCUAACUACGUGCCAGCAGCCGCGGUAAUAC